AACGCUGGCGGCAGGCCUAACACAUGCAAGUCGAGCGGUAGCACAAGAGAGCUUGCUCUCUGGGUGACGAGCGGCGGACGGGUGAGUAAUGUCUGGGAAACUGCCUGAUGGCGGGGGAUAACUAGUGGAAACGGUAGCUAAUACCGCAUAACGUCGCAAGACCAAAGUGGGGGACCUUCGGGCCUCACGCCAUCAGAUGUGCCCAGGUGGGAUUAGCUGGUAGGUGGGGUAACGGCUCACCUAGGCGACGAUCCCUAGCUGGUCUGAGAGGAUGACCAGCCACACUGGAACUGAGACACGGUCCAGACUCCUACGGGAGGCAGCAGUGGGGAAUAUUGCACAAUGGGCGCAAGCCUGAUGCAGCCAUGCCGCGUGUGUGAAGAAGGCCUUCGGGUUGUAAAGCACUUUCAGCGAGGAGAAAGGGUAAUGUGUUAAUAAGACAUUG
rnacentral:rRNA from 1 species